rnacentral:lncRNA from 11 species
GGCCUCUGGGAGGAAAUGAGACCUCAAGAGGGUAGUGUUGAAUCUGCUGAGGUCUUAAGGUUCAGUGGUUCAGAGAUUUCUCCUUUGGGCAACAUUUGUAUCGUUAGCUCUUUAUUUCAUCUUCCUAAACUGUUUUUCUUUCAAAGAAAACAAGGCUCUCAGCCAUGAGGAAGAACAGAAGCAGCCACUUCAGUCCCAACACCACCUGCCAUCACCACAGCCUGUGCUACGACCGCCUGAUUGAAAAAUGUAUCAGCUGCAAAGUGAUGCAGAGAGGAGGCACCGAGAAGGAGACAACAACCAUCCUCACAGUGGCCUCCAUUACAACCCAGAUACCAGCACCUCUUACUACAGAGCAGACUUGUUCAGCCUUAACCUUUGUUUUUGUGGGACUAACCUUCACCAUAGCAGCUCUGUGCUUUGUAAUGUACUUGAAACAAAAAAGAAAGAAGAAGAUGAGAAAAGCUGGUAAGGAGAAUUCCAAAGGAAAUGAUCACUCCAUUGAAAAUGAAGUUCAGAAAGACCUUGGCUGCAGCCCAGGAGAUGAUAGCCCUGAACUACCUGAAUGCUUACAUUCGGUUGUUACUUCAGAUACUUCCACAGAAGAAAACUUUAAGAGGAAUGUGCACCAUAUUCCUGUACCAGGAAAUGACGUCAUGGAUGUAAACUUCCUGCCUUCCGAUGACAAUAACGGCAAUCCUACCUUUCCAGUGCCAGCAACCGAACUCGGGGCAACGAUGUUGGUGACCACCAAAACUACUCAAGAAAACUUCCUCAGUGAGAAGUUGGCAUUGCAGCAGGUUUAAAAGGGUGAGAUUUAGCAGGCCCUCACUCAAACGUGAUAUAAACAUGCUUGACAAGGACGGUGACUGGACAUAAGCACCAGCGGAGUGUUUCACUGUAACAGUGGAAGUAAGUUUGCUGUUUCCCCACAUUGUAAUCAAAUUUUGAAAAUUUUUCAUCUGUCCAAAGGUCUGAGUUCUACCUCUUACAAAAGGAGGCAACUAAUACUUUGGGGUUCAUUUUGCUGCCCUUCCUUUAUGAGCUUUGAGGAUAGAAAAGAUAUGUUCCUAAGGAAAUAAAAAUAUUGCUUAGUGUCCCAGAAAUCCCUUUGUUUUUUUUAUUUCUGCUCCCUAAAACUAACAAGUCAAUUGGUUGGGUUUAUUUAUUUAUUUAUUUAUUUACAGUAUUUAUAUUCCACCCUUCUCACCCUGAAGGGGAUUCAGGGCAGAUCACAAUGCACAUAUACAUGGCAAACAUUCAAUGCCAUUAGACAUACAACAUAUAGACAGACACAAAGGCAAUUUAACAUUUUCCAGCUUCCAGCUUCAUGAGGGUAUGCUCGAUUCCGACCACAGGAGGAGCUGCUGCUUCAUCGACCACUUGUGGCACCGAGUCCUUGAUGGAGUACUUCCUCAUUCCUUUCCGUACACUGCUGGUGUCAUAAAUUAGGUAAAUUAGCCUCCCCGCAUAAAGUGGUACCUAAAUUUUAUACUCGACAGAUGCAACUGUCUUUUGAGCUGCUUAGAUCAACAGUGAGCUAGGUUAUUAAAUGAUUGGGAGCUCAAUCUGACUUGGCCUUUGAUCUCAUGAACUCUCAGUCAGUAGUGAUUUAUUGCAACUGGCUACUAACCAGCUGCACCACAGUCCGGUUCAUCAUUCCAUCCUAAACAUACACUAUUUCAUCUGAUUUUGGAGGCUAAGAAUGGUCAGGUCUAGAGAGUACUUGGAUCAAAAACAGUCAAAGAACACUAGAAAUCUCCAGGUCGAAAUACUGAACUAGAUGGACCAAAGAUCUCACGUCUGUGUUCCUCUUGUUAAUGUAAUUUAUUCUGUGCAUAGAGAUUCAAAGGAUAUAAAUGAAAAGGAGCAGAAAUAUUGUGGCAUUUUCAUAAUCAAGAACUUCACUGUGAGCACAUACUCUCAUUAGGUGAAGCAUCACAUAAUCUGAAUGUGACACACAUAUUCAACAACUAGUGGCCAUUAUUCUGCAAUGUUCUUGCUGGGAAAUUGUUAAAACUUCAGCUUUUGAUUGCUCAGUGAAAUUUGGUCUUCUUUUUUGUUACUUUUCCAUAGUCUCAAGUCCCAUUGCAGUGAUGCUUUCAACUGCUGGUUAGGAGAUUGUUUUGUUUAAAGGUGAUGUUCUCAGCAUAUAAUAGAAAGUUUGUGAGUUGUACAAGGAAGUUGCUUCCGGCACUAUGCACAUGUCAGUGAACUUUUAUUACCUUUUGCGUCUUAUUCUGUGGAUUUUUUUUUUAACCAUUCCAUAUUACAGCUCAAAAACAGUAGAAUCGCAGAGCAUAGAAGGAAAAGAAUUGGGAAUGAUCAACUGGAAUUGCACUCAGUCAGGACCAUGGACAGAGAUCAGUGUUUCCUAUUGUAGCUGGUUUCUCAUGUAUGCCUCUUGCUCAGAAGUGUUUUGUGUGGAGAAAAUGCUGCAUGUCUCACAACAAAAGGUAAAAGGAUGCAAAUGAUGUGGGAAUCUGGUAUGGGAGUGAGGCAUGUCGAGCUUCUGAACUCUUUAUAAAUAUAUAUCCUGUGGCAAAUGUUACUACACUCAAAGAGGAAGUUUAUGAGUGGAUAUGCAAAAUCUCUCAGAGCAUGUGCUCUGACUUGCUCAGAGGCUGGAACAGUACAUUUGUUUUAAUUAAAAUUCUCUUUACAGUGCUACCCAGAUGAUCCUGAGAAAGCUGCUCAGUCAGGGGCAACGAGGGACAUGCGUGGGAGAGUAGGACAGCUGGACUGGGAGUUGAAAAUGAGUGGGUUUGUUGCUGGAUGCCUACUAUGACUACUGAUAUAACCAUUGCUUGCGAAUCAUUUGCCCUGUCCCCACUGCACAAUUAUACCACAUUAUUCCAUCUUGAGCUUCCAUGGAUGUACCAAAUUGAAUUUUGAGCUUUGUAGUUAAGACACUACAACUCUCCAGAUGAACAUUCACAGUGCCAUUCCAUGAAUUGCAUUCCCCAGGAUUCCAUAGGAUGUUGCCAUGGUUGUUAAAGUGGCAUCAUAGGGCGCAUCUACACUGAUGAAUUAAUGCAGUUUGACACCACUUUAACUGCCAUAUAUCAAUGGUAUGGAAUCAAGCUUUAGUUUUACAACUGUCAAAGGGUUGCUGUGAGUUCUCCAGGCUGUAUGGCCAUAUUCCACAAGCAUUCUCUCCUGACAUUUCACCCACAUCUAUGGCAGGCAUCCUCAGAGGUUGUGAGGUUUGUUGGAAACUAGGCAAGUGAGGUUUAUAUAUUUGUGGAAGGUCCAGGGUGGGAGAAAGAACUCUUGUCUGUUUGAGGCAAAUAUGAAUGUUGCAAUUGACCACCUUGAUUAGCAUUGAAUGGCCUUGCAGCUUCAAAGCCUGCCUGCUUCCUGCCUGGGAAAUCCUUUGUUGGGAGGUGUUAGCUGGCCAUGAGUGUUUCCUGUCUGGAAUUCCCGUUUUCUGAGUUUUGUUCUUUAUUUACGAUACUGUCAAGGUUUAGUGGUGCCUCACUAAACUGCAAAUCCUGUAGUGCCAGAACUGUGUAUUGUGAAAAGGCCCUAAGUCUAGCUAGUGUGCCCAAUUUGAUUUUUCAGUCUUACAAGAUUUCUGGUUCUCUCCUAGAGUGUUUUACAGCCCGUCAGAAUCCUUUGUUGUUAUUUUCUCAUUAUUCUGCCAGCACAUGCUUGUCAAUGUGGCUGAAGUAAUCUUGUCGUAGUUUCUCUCACCCCCCCCCCUUCCUUGCCUAAGGGAAGGGAGGUGAAUGUGGCAACAGCUGCUCUCAUUUCUCUGUGUAAGUUUCCACCAGUAGGGUUUCAGUUCCCUUUUGCAAGCAGGGCAAAGAACUCUUCACCAGCUCAUGUUAAGAGAGAGUCCCUACUGUCUGUAUUAUUUGUUUGUUGUUGUUGUACGCUUUCAAAUGGCUUCUAACUUAUAUUACCCGAAGGCAAAUCUAUUAUAGGAUUUCCUGGCGCUGAGAGUAUGCGAUUUGUCCAAGGUCACCCAGUGGCUGAGUGGGAAAACAUACCCUGGUCUCCAGAUUUGCAGUCCAACACUCACAACACAACACUGCGCUAGUUGAUUACAGUAUUCAAAUUUAUGUGGGGGAGUGGGGCAAGAUGUGGGAAAUCUUUGCCUAAUUUGUGUAGGCAGCUGAUUUGCAACCCAAGGAGUAAAUCCCAGUGACAGACUGGGGUGCCGGGAGGGUGUGGAACUUUAAAAACAAAUCAAAGUUAUUAUAGCAGCAGCCAUGACAGCAACCACAAUCCUUCUUCCUAUUGCAGGGCUAGGAAUGUGGCUCCAGAUCAAACUCCCUUCUACAUAGAUUUAAAUUAUGGGUUAUUGUAAUGAGAAGGAAAGCAAAGCAGUGAUUUAAUCCAUUUUUUUGUUUACUUAUGCAUGAUGUUGUAAUAUCAAUAUUUUAGCCCAAUCUCAAUUUCCCAUGAGGCCUCUCACUGCCCUAUCCACAUAACUUACAUACCUUUUUUUCUUCCCCAUCCAAUACAUUUGGUAUCACUCAGCUCAUUGGAGAGUUUUGUAGAUUUCAAAAGCAUGCGUGCUUGUAUGCAUUUGGUCAUUCUUAGGGUAUUUCUUCCUUGGACCAGCAAACUAACUUUGCUUUUUAAAAAUUGUAUUUAGAUCUCUGAAAAAAAUUAAUCACCAUUCAAAGAUAAUGUUUUAGAUCAGGCAUGGGCAAACUUUGGCCCUCCAGGUGUUUUGGACUGCAACUCCCAC